CAUUUAAUUCAUAACUUAUCAUAGUUCGUAAUUUCAUAUUGUGACAAUUCAAAUUUUAACCAUACUUUUAUCUUACGCACAUGCUCCGAUGAUAGAUAAUUGCUCAAAUAAAUAGGGAUACAUGGGCAACUCACCUCUGCACGAACGGCCAUGUUGAAUACUAUCGAGCUAGAGCUGUCAAAUGUCAAAUGUGUAUGCGUGCAUGGGUCACUGUGACCACUGUCACUGUGACCAAGUUUCAAUGAUACAGAACGUGAUCCGCUAUUCGAUACAUAAUGCAAAUGGAGCUCUGAAGUUUACGACUGCGUACGGUGACACAGAGUUGAAAACGAAAGAGCCUUUGGGUGGCUGAUAAUAAUCAGCUUGCGAAAUUGUUCAUACAUUAUUAAUGCUAGGGAUCACAAAUUAGGCUCAAAGAGAUCUUGGCAUGGUUGCGUAAAGGGGCUGCUAGGCCAGCAUGCCGAAGGUUAUCUUGUACAAAUAACGAAGGAGAAAGGACCAUUAAUCAAUUGACAGAUCGAAUGAAUAAUCUUCACUUUGCAGCAUCAAUAUUUGUUUCACUGAAUUGAGUUUCAAAUCAAUGUUCAACUAUUAUACUCAUCUUUGUUGUGUCCACCAUAGUAAUGACCUACAUUAAUUGCAUACAAAUUGCUUUGCCAUUUUCGAAUGAAGUUAUACUGCUUUAGCUAUUAACAACAAUGAUACCAGUUUUUAAAUUUAUACUUCCUCCAAUGCAUCUGUAAUGUGGAUGUCAAAAUGCCGAACUGUUAUUGAAUUAAAAUAAGUAGUAAGGCAGAAUUACAGAAUUUAACAUAUACACCUGGUGAAGCUAUGAACGCGAGCAGUAGCAUAGAAGACCAAUUUUUAGUUCGCAAUAGACUUUGACCCCCGUUUCGAGUAUUACUUGGGUUUGGCAAAAAUAAAAUAAAUAUUGUCAAGACUAUUUCUCAUAGCUUAGUUUUGGCCAAGUACUGUGAUAUGUAAUAGUUGUAAUAAAAUAAAUCUUAAUCUUCAAGAAAUAAGUUUAAAAAGUGUAUUUUGUUUCUUGUUAUUAGAACAAGAUAUUGCAUAGAUGUGUUGAUAUGAGAGUUUAACUGAGAUAUAGGAAAUUAUCAGAUAAUCAAACCGUUCUACUUAAGUCUUGGAAUUAAUAAGAUUGUAAUAAUCGUCGCGUCACAAAGUUCAGCAGUUAUAAGUUGACCAUGAUUUGUAGGCAAUCUAGUGAUAACUGCAAAAUCCAAAAUUGAAUAUCCAACAAUGUUCAUCACGUACAAAACUAAUUACUCUGCCUAAUUUCUAG
rnacentral:misc_RNA from 1 species